rnacentral:rRNA from 1 species
UGGGGAAUUUUGGACAAUGGACGCAAGUCUGAUCCAGCCAUGCCGCGUGCGGGAAGAAGGCCUUCGGGUUGUAAACCGCUUUUGUCAGGGAAGAAACGAGUUUCUCUAAUACAGAGACUUAAUGACGGUACCUGAAGAAUAAGCACCGGCUAACUACGUGCCAGCAGCCGCGGUAAUACGUAGGGUGCGAGCGUUAAUCGGAAUUACUGGGCGUAAAGCGUGCGCAGGCGGUUAUGUAAGACAGAUGUGAAAUCCCCGGGCUCAACCUGGGAACUGCAUUUGUGACUGCAUAGCUGGAGUGCGGCAGAGGGGGAUGGAAUUCCGCGUGUAGCAGUGAAAUGCGUAGAUAUGCGGAGGAACACCGAUGGCGAAGGCAAUCCCCUGGGCCUGCACUGACGCUCAUGCACGAAAGCGUGGGGAGCAAACA